rnacentral:misc_RNA from 1 species
UAUCCGUAGGUGAACCUGCGGAAGGAUCAUUAGUGAAUAUUAGCGCAUCUACUUGUAGAGCGUGACCUCCACUUUCUAACUCUGUGCAUUUAUUGGCGGAAGAACUAGAGUAAUCGAAUUCUUAUGCGGCUCAUUUUAUAACACUAGAUAAAGUAUGUAACGAAAUAUCGAAACAAAAAAAAACUUUCAACAACGGAUCUCUUGGCUCGC